GAUGAACGCUGGCGGCGUGCCUAAUACAUGCAAGUCGAGCGAACAGACGAGGAGCUUGCUCCUCUGACGUUAGCGGCGGACGGGUGAGUAACACGUGGAUAACCUACCUAUAAGACUGGGAUAACUUCGGGAAACCGGAGCUAAUACCGGAUAAUAUAUUGAACCGCAUGGUUCAAUAGUGAAAGACGGUUUUGCUGUCACUUAUAGAUGGAUCCGCGCCGCAUUAGCUAGUUGGUAAGGUAACGGCUUACCAAGGCAACGAUGCGUAGCCGACCUGAGAGGGUGAUCGGCCAAACUGGAACUGAGACACGGUCCAGACUCCUACGGUAGGCAGCAGUAGGGAAUCUUCCGCAAUGGGCGAAAGCCUGACGGAGCAACGCCGCGUGAGUGAUGAAGGUCUUCGGAUCGUAAAACUCUGUUAUUAGGGAAGAACAAAUGUGUAAGUAACUAUGCACGUCUUGACGGUACCUAAUCAGAAAGCCACGGCUAACUACGUG
rnacentral:rRNA from 1 species